UGAACGCUGGCGGCGUGCCUAACACAUGCAAGUCGAACGAAGCGUCCCGCCCGAAGAAGAGGAGUGCUUGCACAAUUCGGAUUCAAUUGGGAUGACUUAGUGGCGGACGGGUGAGUAACGCGUGGGUAACCUGCCCUAUACAGGGGGAUAACAGUUAGAAAUGACUGCUAAUACCGCAUAAGCGCACACUACCGCAUGGUAGAGUGUGAAAAGCCGAGACGGUAUAGGAUGGACCCGCGUCUGAUUAGCCAGUUGGCAGGGUAACGGCCUACCAAAGCAACGAUCAGUAGCCGGCCUGAGAGGGUGAACGGCCACAUUGGGACUGAGACACGGCCCAAACUCCUACGGGAGGCAGCAGUGGGGGAUAUUGCACAAUGGGGGAAACCCUGAUGCAGCGACGCCGCGUGAGUGAAGAAGUAUUUCGGUAUGUAAAGCUCUAUCAGCAGGGAAGAAAAUGACGGUACCUGACUAAGAAGCUCCGGCUAAAUACGUGCC
rnacentral:rRNA from 1 species